GUCCACACUGUAAACGAUGAUCACUCGAUGUUGGCGAUACACAGCCAGCGUCUUAGCAAAAGCGAUAAGUGAUCCACCUGGGGAGUACGCCGGCAACGGUGAAACUCAAAGGAAUUGACGGGGUCCGCACAAGCGGUGGAGCAUGUGGUUUAAUUUCGAUGAUACGCGAGGAACCUUACCCUGGGCGUAGAAUGCCUUUGGUCGGGUACGAGAGAUGUAUCGUUCCGCAAGGACAAAGAGCAAGGUGCUGCAUGGCUGUCGU
rnacentral:rRNA from 1 species